rnacentral:rRNA from 1 species
GACAGAGGGUGCAAACGUUUGUUCGGAAUUACUGGGCGUAAAGCGCGUGUAGGCGGCCAUGCAAGUCGGAUGUGAAAGCCCUCGGCUCAACCGGGGAAGUGCACUCGAAACUGCAAGGCUAGAGUCUCGGAGAGGAUCGUGGAAUUCUCGGUGUAGAGGUGAAAUUCGUAGAUAUCGAGAGGAACACCGGUGGCGAAGGCGGCGAUCUGGACGAUGACUGACGCUGAGACGCGAAAGCGUGGGGAGCAAACAGGAUUGAGAU